AGCAUGUUUAAGGACACUGAUUGAAGUGUUGCCUUUUAAACUUACCUGGAAAGCUAGGAGUAGCUGCAGGGACUGAAUUCGCGUCUCAAUGGCUGCGUGGAUAGGAAGUCGCCCACAGGGCAGGCGCACUGAGCGCAGGAAGCGCCGCCUCCCUUCUGCAGUCUUUGUUCUGCUCCUAGAACUGCGUACUUACUGCUCAGCGUGAUUUGAAAGGAAGGCAGAGUGGUUAAAUGUGAGGAAUUUGAGAGUGAGUGCUGAGAACUGCUCCACCUAGCCACGACUACAGAGACCGAUCAACUUGAGAAUGACUGGAUCGACAAAGCAGUUCUACCAAAGAAAUUAUGUAAGCCACUAGAAUUUGAAAAUUAACUCUACCGAAAAUAAUAUAGACAGAAUCGGCCUGGACUUAAAUGACAGCGGCUUGUGGCACGGACUGUUUUGGAAAUUCUGGAUGGCAUCUUAAUAUCAGCAUUUAAAAAUUUGAAUGCUGAGAAUAACUCUACAAAUGUAACUUUCAGAAAUCAUUCCUCUGACUACAGAAGUGAAUGGAGAGCAUUACAGCAGUAAAUAUUGGAAACUGCUACUGAGGACACCCUAGACCAGAGGAGCAGGACUGCCUCUCCUCAAUGAUGGACAUGGGGCAGAACAGCUUUGGACGGGGAAAAAAAAAAGCCUUGGAUUUUGAGCCACAUCUGUGCAGCUGACCCAUCCUGCAGAAGAGCAGAGCCACCUCGUGACCAUUCCAGGUGAUCCUCAUUGUCAUCCUUAAGGAAUCUUGAGAAUAAAAGAUUGGAGGCAGUCUAAAGUCCCAGUUGAAAUGGAAGUCAAGAACUACAAUGCAGCACAGGUCACUGUCAACCGGGCGUCCACAGGUAGGAACUGCUAUUACAUAAACAGGCCAACUGAGAACUUUGCUUAAGUGGACAGGUGAAAAUUGUUGCAGGAGGAGUGAUCCCACGGACAGUUCACCUCCAAGAAAUACCAUAUAAUUGUCGCCUACUGAGAAAUGGAAUCCUGAAUGGGAGCAGACUCUAAAGCACAGUCUUGCCAUCAGUGCCUUUACAGGAUGACCAUCUCUUUUCUGCGGCACAAGCAUUACCCAAGCAUUUUCAUCAACAGCAAUAGUCUGUGCAGAGAGCGAUGGUGCAUGCCUGUAACCCCAGCUUCCAGGAGACUGAGCAAGAAGAUCCAGAGCUUCAGGCCAGCCUCAACUACAAGGUGAAAUGCUAACAAAACGAAACAGCAACAAAAACGAUCAAAGUGCAUCUUUUCAGACAGGCCAUUGUUUUUCUUUCUUCCCUUUUCUUUUUGUGGUGCUGAGGUUUAAUCGUGAGACCUUUUCUAUGCUAGGCAGGUGUUCCAUAGUGAACCACAUCCUGAGCCUUUAUUUUUCCUUGAGACAGGGUAUUGUUGUGUAGCCUAGGCUGGCCUCAUAUUUAUAAUCCAUCUGUCUCUGCCUCCUGAAAGCUGGAUUACAGAUGUAUACCAUUGUGCCUUGUGCCAAGGGAUUGGGAGCAUUCAUCCAAGCCUCCACUGAAUACUUGAGUACUUCAGACCAGUGCUUGGGAUCUUUCAUAAUUCCAGUCUCUCCCUGACCAAGUGACUUUGCAUCAAGAGAGUGCUACUGUCCUAUGUCAACAAGGACAGAUUGCAGUAGUAUUCCUGGAGACUACCUUUAAACUGAUUCUCAGCAUGAUAAUCAGAGUUUGGCUGGCUCAAUGCCGUCCAGAGCCUCCCAGUGAUGGUGGGUGGCUGACACCUUCAACUAGGUAAGGCACUGCAAUGCACACUAUGGAGCCUAUCUACCUGGUGACCAAAGUGUGCACCAACUUGAAGCACAAGAGCUAACUGUCUUAUCAUAUAUUUUAGACCAGCUAAUGUGGUUCUUCAACCUGGGGACUCAUACAGCUAACUGUGUGCAGCACUGCUCCCUGACUCAGUCAGAACCUACCAGGGCCUAUGUGAUGGAGUUACCAUGAGUUUUCAGGAGUUAUUGCUAGACUUCAGUGUACCAAGUAUAUAGCACUGCCAGGCAGAUGGGGGUUUAGUUUUGAAAGCCUUGCCUUAGUUUCUGUACUCUUUCUCCUCAUAAGGAUUCUGGCAGUCAUCCCGGGCCUAUUACUCUAUCUCCAUCACUAGGAACAUCUGUCAGCCUGGUCUCUGUAGCAUGGUUUUGAAGUUAUUCCCAACUUAAGCCUCACCUUUUAGUAGAAUCGAUGCUUCACCUAUCAGAUUAAUUCCAGAAACAUCUUUCAAUUGGAUAUUGCCUUCAAUGCCAACAACAAAGCCUUACAUGUUGUAUUGGAGUCAAAUACAUACCAUCUGUCUCGUAUAGCCAGGCUGACCUCAAACCCAUUGCUUACGCCGAGAAUGACUUCGACCUUCCUGUCCUCCUGACUCUAACUUCCUGCUAGGAUUACAGGAUUACAGACACGCACACCACCCUUGGAUUUCUGCUGUGCUGUGGAUU